AGAAGACAGAGUCAUCUCAACAAAAUGGUGUAGAAGCGACAGAGAACUGGAGGGAGAAGUCUGCUGAAAUACAGGAACCUGAGCUGAAGCGCACACCUCCCAGACCCUCAUCAUCCACUUCUCAGGGAAAGAACAGGGAAGAAAAGGCAAGUUUACCCACCUCACAACGUAAUCACAUGACAUCACCACGACCAGGUCGAGUGAAGAUGCAUUCACUGUUUUAAUGAAUUGUUCUAACUGGUUAACCCACAGAAUGUCCCAUCAAACACAGCAGAACAGAAACACCAUGAGGACAACUAGUGAAUGAGGAGCACGGAGGAUUCAAGGUCACGUCAGCAUAACGCCCCCUGAACCACAGCAGAUAACCAGGCAAUGACUGCUUCUACAGGACCUAUGCAGCUGAAUGAAUGUUAUAGUUGGUAGUUCUUAAACUGUGGUGAUGAGCCCAGUAACAAUAAUUUAUGUUGUUUUGUUUUAGAAAACUCAAAGACAAGAAUGUGACUUUGCUCAGACAUAAUUAGAACAAACGCAACAGGAAGUGGAGACAAUAUCAGAAACUCUUGUACAAUACAUUUGCAAAUGAUCAAACAGUGAAAUCAUAGACUGUAAAUAACGAUGGAUGUCACAUCUCUAUUUCUUCCUACUAUCCACAAAUGAAGCUAUGAACGCUGCCAUCUUGUGCAUUUGAAGGCAGAAUGUGUAGUUGUGAUUGGAGGAUAGAGGUAGGAAGGUCCAACUCAACCAGCUGUCAGCCAUGUUGUUUUUAUAGCAUCAAAUAACUAUUUAAAACCAAACUUACCAUUAUAACGUGCACUCGAACUGUAAUGAUAGAAACCAUCUAACAUAUUUCAGUAUUUCGAUAGUUUUUUUUUUCCGGAUGCCAGAUUUUUGACCUGUACUCCAGCCAGCCACCAGGUGGCGAUUGAGACGCUUUGGCUUUACUUCAGAGGAGCAGUCAUGUCGUCCCUCUUCAUAUUCAGUUAUUUUAUUAUCAUGUAACUAUCUGACUUUAUGUUUUGAUCUAAUCUUAAAUAAUGAAUUAAAUUGUCGUCUCCAGAGCCACAUUAUUCUCAUGGCUCAUAAAAAAGUUAACAUCAUAAACUUCACCUGGGUUGUAUUUGUUGCAGGGAUUCAAUUUGAUUGCAUUAUAUUGUAGAGAGUAAAUGAUAUUGUGUCCACAAUGUUUUACAGGGAUAAUUCUGAUGCAGAUGUGAGUAGAUGGCAUUCAUUUACGAUGUGUACAUAAGAAACAAUAUUUUGUGACAUUUGAAGUCUAACUGUGUCUGAUUUGUGAAGAACAAACAUGAAAAUGAUGUUUUGCUAACUUUUUUUUAAAAUUCAGCUAAAUGACAAGCUGAGUAGAUGCAACAAAGUCAUCUGUACAGUGCUCUGUGUCAAUUUAAAAACACUGUGAAAAUAAAAACAUAUUAAGAUA